GAUGAACGCUGGCGGCAUGCCUUAUACAUGCAAGUCGAGCGAUCAGAGGAGUACCUUUCCCGUCGAAUGUUGGCGGGGUACGGAUUACAACCACAUGGAUACCCGACCUGUAGGACUGGAAUAACUUGGUUAACCCGUACCUAAUACCGGAUAAUUUUUUAAACCGCAUGCUUCAAUAGUUAACGCCGGUUUAGCGGCCACUUACAGAUGAAUCCGCGCCGAAUUAGCUAGUUGGUCAGGUAAAGGCUUACCAAGUCUACGAUGCGUAGCCGCCCUGAGAGGGCGAUCGGCCACACUGGAACUGAGACACGGUCCAGACUCCUACGGGAGGCAGCAGUAGGGAAUCUUCCGCAAUGGGCGAAAGCCUGACGGAGCAACGCCGCGUGAAUGAUGAAGGUCUUCGGAUCGUAAACUGCUGUUAUUCGGGACGAACAAAUGUGUAAGAAACUAUGCACGUCUUGACGGUACCGUAUCAGAAAGCCACGGCUAACUACGUG
rnacentral:rRNA from 1 species